CGGCAGAGGGCACUGCGGAACCAGCAGGAAUGUCCCCUGUAGAGACAUGGUGACACACGGAGCUAUUCCACCCCCCUGGCUCUUCAUUCGUGAGGCCACCUGCCUCCUCGCAGAGGCGGCGAGGAAAUCCUGAAGGCAGCUACGACCAAGCAGAAAGGGGGGAGGGGGUAAAUUGGCAGCGGGAGGCGCUCACCACCCCGGCUCCCGCGGAAGCACGGCUUCCCUGCUUUUAAAUCUCCGGCCCUCAGGAGAGCCAGCGUUGGUUUGCAGCUGCAAGAAAAGGAGAAAGCGGACAACUAGUGGGGCUGGUCAGAGAGGAGCGAGGAAGCUCCCGGCAGAGGAGGACCAGAGACCCCGAGAGGAUGUUAACAAUCCAGUUCUCCCUGGUUGCGAUGACUUUAGUAUUCAAAGGGGCCAGUGGAGUGUCGGUGAUGCAGACGCAAGGCCCCAUGACCGUGUCCGAGGGAGAAGGUUUGAGGCUCAAUUGUAGCUAUGAUGAUGCCGCAGCGUAUGCCGUCUUCUGGUACGCGCAGUUCCGCAGCCAGCCCCCCCGGCUCCUCCUGAGGGACCCGGGAAGGGAGGACUCGGCUGAAGGAAUCAGAAAAGCGUUCGAUGCCACCCACGAGAAAAAGCACAAAUCCUUCCAUCUGUGGAAACCGGCCAGCGAAGUGAGCGACUCCGCGACCUAUUACUGCGCCGCGAGCGACACAGUGACAGGGACCGGCAGGGAGCUGAGCAAAAACCAGACAGGGUCUGUGCGGAGCAGCGGGAAGGCAGGCACCAGGGUCUGGGAGGGGAAGGGAGGAAUGGCGCAACCACAGAACUUGGAUCAGAUCUCUCUGGUCACCGGCUAG